AUGGUUUUACAUUGAGAAAUGGACCUUUGGAGGGCUCACUACGGUUGCAUCGCUGCACUAGGUUGGAGAGCAAAGGCAGAAGAAUAGGAACAGUAGAGCAGCGUUCCCUUAAAAGCUGCUUAACAGGUGACACCAAAGUAUUGAUACAGCAAGAAGGCCAAAAGUGCAUGCUGCCCCAAGCACCAUUAUGUGUCGCCCACGCUCCGCAACCCCUACAACGGCCGCUGUCAAACAGAGGCGGCGUUGUUUAUCCGUUUCCCCACCCUGGCCGCGCAGUGGGUGUGGCUGAGCUAUACUGUAUUGAUAUCAUAGGCCUGCCGGGGCUGCUACUACCCGCCCUAAAGGUCGCUUCAGGGCUUGCAGCGGACUCCUGUAGAGAGAGAGAGAGAGAGAGAGGGGGGCCGGAGCCGGAGCCGGAGCCCGUGUAAACGGUGCAGCAGCUCGAGGCAGCAGUUGCUCGCCCCUUUCCGUGUCCCCCGGCACCAGGGAACGGGGGAGACAGAGCUGAGGGAUGCCCGCUAGGACCAAGUUUGAAAGCGGCCCCUGCCCUAGGAGACUGGGCAUAUGAUGGAGGAGCUGGCAAGAAGCUAAUACCAACAUGGCUGCAACUUGGCCAAGCCACUGUUUUUGGUUCCAUUUUGCAGCAAUGUGUUGGUUAGUAGCGAGCUGCCCAGAAGCUGAUUAAAUAUCUGGGCUGCAGAGUUCGCUUUUCUCAGGAUUACUUAGCCGUGAUGCCACAGUACAGAAAAUCACUUGCAUUCUUGUGUUAAUCUAUGAAAUUUCUGUUUGUCUCUUUGAAUUGUGCAACAUAAAGAUGGGUGGAUAGAAAGCUGGCUAGAUUGUUGGGCUCAACGGGUAGUGAUCAACGACUGGAUAUCUAGUUGGCAGCCAGUAUCAAGCGGAGUGCCCCAGGGGUUAGUCCUGGGGCUGGUUUUGUUCAACAUCUUUAUUUAUGAUCUGGAUGACGGGAUGAAUUGCACCCUCAGCAAGUUUGCGGAAGACACUAAGCUGGGGGGAGGAGAGGUAGAUACGCUGUAGAGUAGGAAUAGGGUCCAGAGUGACCUAGACAAAUUGGAGGAUUGGACCAAAAGAAAUCUAAUGAGGUUCAACAAGUACAAGUGCAGGACUCUGCACUUAGGAUGUAAGAAUCCCAUGCACCGCUACACUAUGGGGACUGACUGGCUAAGCAGUAGUUCUGCAGAAAUGGACCUGGGUGUUGGGAACACUGGGGCAUGGCCACUAGGUAACUCGAGGGGAUGGAAGACCACGAGUGUCGAUGAAGCCCCCUCGCACUAGGCCCCGGUGUCCUUGGCCCCCCCUCGUGCCUGGAGGCACUCGCAGCAGCUCUGCGUACUAGGCCCAAGUGUCCUUGGCCCCCCCGCCUGGAGGCGCACACAGCAGUUAUGCUGAGAAUCUGCAACAGUAUGUUGCAGAGUCAGACUGCCUGAAACUAAGCAAGGCCAAACAGGACAGAUAUGGAAGAACAAUGCUGAAUAAAGCAGCUUUAUGUAUAGUUUAACAAAUGAUACAGAGAAUCAGGGAACUAGCUGGGAACUGGAUUGGCUGGCUAUAUGGAUACUUGGAGCAGCUUGCUAUUGGAUAAGUAUGCUGGGAAAAAGGAUGUAUAAAAGCCUGUGUAACUUCCUGCUCUGUUGUGCAGGAUUUGAGAUUUUAUUCUCCCUGUACCUUUUUGCAGCUGCAAAUAAACUUUUCUGCUUCUCCACCCCGUUGUGAUUAUUGGGUGUAGCACACCGGGUAACGAACCACUCAAGCUGUUGUUCAGCCUCUCGGCACUGGGUGCCGGCAACAGCUUUUGGCGUCCCUGGGUGGGCGACGAGGCUGCAAUUUAGCCUUGCCCGGACCCCUCCUGGAGGUCGAGGAUUGCGACAAGAACCGACGCCCAGCGCGCACCGGUGAGUUCAUCGGGGGCCUCGGAGGAGACGCGAUUUGAUCGACCCCAGAGGGCACAACGGUGCAACGCACUCAUAUAGUGGAGAAGCUGUUGUGGACGGCGGUGAAGAACCGGUCCCUUAGACGUGGGGGAGCAGCAGCUACAGGACGGCGGUGAAGAACCGGUCCCUUGGAUAAGGUAUACCAAGGAUUCCCAGCCUCUCCCCUUGGACUCUCCCGUUCACUCCUUACAGCCCGGUGACUCCGUGCUUGUUCGCACCUGGAAAGACGAGCCUCUCCAGGAAAAGUGGAAAGGACCCUAUACCGUCCUGCUGAUCUCCCAUACAGCGGCAAAGAUCGAGGGACAGAAGAACUGGAUCCAUCACUCUCGUCUGAAGGCAGUACCCGCCCCCUCGUCAGCAGAACAGUGGACCGUCCAACCUGCUGACUCCUCAUCUAGUGACGAUCUCGGGCUAAAGCUACUGUUUAAAAGACACAAAUAGCGGGCACCUUAAUGCUAAAAUGGGCCCACCCAGGUACUGGAGACCCUGGGUUGGGAAGACUCUGGUAAUAAUUAAUUGGGUAACAUUGUUAUUCUUUGUAUUGGUAUUUCCAAAUGGUGCAUAUCGGGAGCAUAACUCCUUUGUUUUGCUUGCGCACCAUGUUGCUACUUUAACAAACCAGACUGAUUGCUGGGUGUGUGCUCCAACUCCACUAUCCCCCAAAACGGGAAUGCCCCUUGACAUGCUGCCCUUGACCCUAGCAGAAUUAGCCACCACCAAAGAGCAGGAAAGAACGGACUCACCGUUCUGGAACAAGACCUCUUUACAGCAGGCCACCUAUCAGGACCAGGAGUAUUCAGUUGCAGUACUCACUGAGGGAGUGUUAUGUUUUACCCGAAACCAAUCUGAUCCCUAUGGGCAUCUUGUGGGAAAGAGCUCCUGUGUUAUUACACAGUGGGCUGAUGGGUAUUGGAUAAAGACCAAAAGGCGAGGCCAGCAAUGUGGGUGUAAUGGUUCCUCCCCUUUUAGGGAAACACUUACAAAUAAUCUUACCACAAAAAAGGGGUUUGAAAAUGUAACUUGCCGUCCAGUUAAUAUCUCCAAUGUAGCAAGCCCAAGUGAGAAAACUCAGAGCCAAGGCUGUUGAGUGUUCUCAAAGGGGGGAGUUGUUGGGAACACUGGGGCAUGGCCACUAGGUAACUCGAGGGGAUGGAAGACCACGAGUGUCGAUGAAGCCCCCUCGCACUAGGCCCCGGUGUCCUUGGCCCCCCCUCGUGCCUGGAGGCACUCGCAGCAGCUCUGCGUACUAGGCCCAAGUGUCCUUGGCCCCCCCGCCUGGAGGCGCACACAGCAGUUAUGCUGAGAAUCUGCAACAGUAUGUUGCAGAGUCAGACUGCCUGAAACUAAGCAAGGCCAAACAGGACAGAUAUGGAAGAACAAUGCUGAAUAAAGCAGCUUUAUGUAUAGUUGAACAAAUGAUACAGAGAAUCAGGGAACUAGCUGGGAACUGGAUUGGCUGGCUAUAUGGAUACUUGGAGCAGCUUGCUAUUGGAUAAGUAUGCUGGGAAAAAGGAUGUAUAAAAGCCUGUGUAACUUCCUGCUCUGUUGUGCAGGAUUUGAGAUUUUAUUCUCCCUGUACCUUUUUGCAGCUGCAAAUAAACUUUUCUGCUUCUCCACCCCGUUGUGAUUAUUGGGUGUAGCACACCGGGUAACGAACCACUCAAGCUGUUGUUCAGCCUCUCGGCACUGGGUGCCGGCAACAGCUUUUGGCGUCCCUGGGUGGGCGACGAGGCUGCAAUUUAGCCUUGCCCGGACCCCUCCUGGAGGUCGAGGAUUGCGACAAGAACCGACGCCCAGCGCGCACCGGUGAGUUCAUCGGGGGCCUCGGAGGAGACGCGAUUUGAUCGACCCCAGAGGGCACAACGGUGCAACGCACUCAUAUAGUGGAGAAGCUGUUGUGGACGGCGGUGAAGAACCGGUCCCUUAGACGUGGGGGAGCAGCAGCUACAGGACGGCGGUGAAGAACCGGUCCCUUGGAUAAGGUAUACCAAGGAUUCCCAGCCUCUCCCCUUGGACUCUCCCGUUCACUCCUUACAGCCCGGUGACUCCGUGCUUGUUCGCACCUGGAAAGACGAGCCUCUCCAGGAAAAGUGGAAAGGACCCUAUACCGUCCUGCUGAUCUCCCAUACAGCGGCAAAGAUCGAGGGACAGAAGAACUGGAUCCAUCACUCUCGUCUGAAGGCAGUACCCGCCCCCUCGUCAGCAGAACAGUGGACCGUCCAACCUGCUGACUCCUCAUCUAGUGACGAUCUCGGGCUAAAGCUACUGUUUAAAAGACACAAAUAGCGGGCACCUUAAUGCUAAAAUGGGCCCACCCAGGUACUGGAGACCCUGGGUUGGGAAGACUCUGGUAAUAAUUAAUUGGGUAACAUUGUUAUUCUUUGUAUUGGUAUUUCCAAAUGGUGCAUAUCGGGAGCAUAACUCCUUUGUUUUGCUUGCGCACCAUGUUGCUACUUUAACAAACCAGACUGAUUGCUGGGUGUGUGCUCCAACUCCACUAUCCCCCAAAACGGGAAUGCCCCUUGACAUGCUGCCCUUGACCCUAGCAGAAUUAGCCACCACCAAAGAGCAGGAAAGAACGGACUCACCGUUCUGGAACAAGACCUCUUUACAGCAGGCCACCUAUCAGGACCAGGAGUAUUCAGUUGCAGUACUCACUGAGGGAGUGUUAUGUUUUACCCGAAACCAAUCUGAUCCCUAUGGGCAUCUUGUGGGAAAGAGCUCCUGUGUUAUUACACAGUGGGCUGAUGGGUAUUGGAUAAAGACCAAAAGGCGAGGCCAGCAAUGUGGGUGUAAUGGUUCCUCCCCUUUUAGGGAAACACUUACAAAUAAUCUUACCACAAAAAAGGGGUUUGAAAAUGUAACUUGCCGUCCAGUUAAUAUCUCCAAUGUAGCAAGCCCAAGUGAGAAAACUCAGAGCCAAGGCUGUUGAGUGUUCUCAAAGGGGGAGUUGUUGGGAACACUGGGGCAUGGCCACUAGGUAACUCGAGGGGAUGGAAGACCACGAGUGUCGAUGAAGCCCCCUCGCACUAGGCCCCGGUGUCCUUGGCCCCCCCUCGUGCCUGGAGGCACUCGCAGCAGCUCUGCGUACUAGGCCCAAGUGUCCUUGGCCCCCCCGCCUGGAGGCGCACACAGCAGUUAUGCUGAGAAUCUGCAACAGUAUGUUGCAGAGUCAGACUGCCUGAAACUAAGCAAGGCCAAACAGGACAGAUAUGGAAGAACAAUGCUGAAUAAAGCAGCUUUAUGUAUAGUUUAACAAAUGAUACAGAGAAUCAGGGAACUAGCUGGGAACUGGAUUGGCUGGCUAUAUGGAUACUUGGAGCAGCUUGCUAUUGGAUAAGUAUGCUGGGAAAAAGGAUGUAUAAAAGCCUGUGUAACUUCCUGCUCUGUUGUGCAGGAUUUGAGAUUUUAUUCUCCCUGUACCUUU